GAUGAACGCUAGCGGCAGGCCUAACACAUGCAAGUCGAGGGGUAGCAGGAUUAAGCUUGCUUAAUUGCUGACGACCGGCGCACGGGUGCGUAACGCGUAUGCAACCUACCUUAUACUGGGGUAUAGCCCGGAGAAAUUCGGAUUAAUCCCCCAUAGUACUAAUGAAUCGCAUGGUUUAAUAGUUAAAGCAUUGCGGUAUAAGAUGGGCAUGCGUCCUAUUAGCUAGAUGGUGAGGUAACGGCUCACCAUGGCUACGAUAGGUAGGGGGCAUGAGAGGGUCGUCCCCCACGCUGGUACUGAGACACGGACCAGACUCCUACGGGAGGCAGCAGUGAGGAAUAUUAGUCAAUGGGCGAAAGACUGAACCAGCCAUGCCGCGUGCAGGAAGAAUGCCCUAUGGGUUGUAAACUGCUUUUAUUUGGGAAUAAACCUCUUUACGUGUAGAGAGCUGAAGGUACCAAAUGAAUAAGCACCGGCUAACUCCGUGCCAGCCGCCGCGGUAA
rnacentral:rRNA from 1 species